rnacentral:rRNA from 1 species
GAUGAACGCUGGCGGCGUGCCUAAUACAUGCAAGUCGAGCGAACGGACGAGAAGCUUGCUUCUCUGCUGUUAGCGGCGGACGGGUGAGUAACACGUGGAUAACCUACCUAUAAGACUGGGAUAACUUCGGGAAACCGGAUCUAAUACCGGAUGAUAUUUUGAACCGCAUGGUUCAAAAGUGAAAGACGGUCUUGCUGUCACUUAUAGAUGGAUCCGCGCUGCAUUAGCUAGUUGGUAAGGUAACGGCUUACCAAGGCAACGAUGCAUAGCCGACCUGAGAGGGUGAUCGGCCACACUGGAACUGAGACACGGUCCAGACUCCUACGGGAGGCAGCAGUAGGGAAUCUUCCGCAAUGGGCGAAAGCCUGACGGAGCAGCGCCGCGUGAGUGAUGAAGGUCUUCGGAUCGUAAAACUCUGUUAUUAGGGAAGAACAUAUGUGUAAGUAACUGUGCACAUCUUGACGGUACCUAAUCAGAAAGCCACGGCUAACUACGUG